GUGAAUUUAGUUUAAAUAAAAUAUUUAUUUUGCAGAUAAAAGAUUAAAUAUACAUUUUAAAUUUACA
rnacentral:tRNA from 3 species